ACACAAGGGUCAAGGGUCAAGGAUUUCAGUAUACCCACUUACAAAACGCAAGGAUACCGUUACGUAACGAUGAUUGUUUUGUGAGUGAACUUUCACACUUGCGUUCAUAAAUUCACCCCGU